GACGAACGCUGGCGGCGUGCUUAACACAUGCAAGUCGAACGGAUAGGCCCUGCUUUUGUGGGGUGCUCGAGUCGCGAACGGGUGAGUAACACGUGAGUAACCUGCCCUUGACUUUGGGAUAACUUCAGGAAACUGGGGCUAAUACCGGAUAGGAGCUCCUGCUGCAUGGUGGGGGUUGGAAAGUUUCGGCGGUUGGGGAUGGACUCGCGGCUUAUCAGCUUGUUGGUGGGGUAGUGGCUUACCAAGGCUUUGACGGGUAGCCGGCCUGAGAGGGUGACCGGCCACAUUGGGACUGAGAUACGGCCCAGACUCCUACGGGAGGCAGCAGUGGGGAAUAUUGCACAAUGGGCGGAAGCCUGAUGCAGCAACGCCGCGUGCGGGAUGACGGCCUUCGGGUUGUAAACCGCUUUCGCCUGUGACGAAGCGUGAGUGACGGUAAUGGGUAAAGAAGCACCGGCUAACUACGUG
rnacentral:rRNA from 1 species